rnacentral:rRNA from 1 species
UACGUAGGGGGCUAGCGUUGUCCGGAUUUAUUGGGCGUAAAGAGCGUGUAGGCGGCUAGAUAGGUCCGUUGUGAAAACUCGAGGCUCAACCUCGAGACGUCGAUGGAAACCAUCUGGCUAGAGUCCGGAAGAGGAGAGUGGAAUUCCUGGUGUAGCGGUGAAAUGCGCAGAUAUCAGGAAGAACACCCGUGGCGAAGGCGGCUCUCUGGUACGUGACUGACGCUGAGACGCGAAAAGCGUGGGGGAGCAAACAGG